UACGUAUGGUGCAAGCGUUAUCCGGAUUUACUGGGCGUAAAGGGAGCGCAGGUGGCGCGCCAAGUCUGAUGUGAAACCCCGGGGCUCAACCCCGGGCAUGCAUUGGAAACUGGCGGGCUGGAGUGCCGGAGAGGUAAGCGGAAUUCCUAGUGUAGCGGUGAAAUGCGUAGAUAUUAGGAGGAACACCAGUGGCGAAGGCGGCUUACUGGACGGCAACUGACGCUGAGGCUCGAAAGCGUGGGGAGCAAACAGG
rnacentral:rRNA from 1 species